GCUGGCACAGUGGUACAUACCUGUAGUCCCAGCUACUCGGGAGGCUGAUUGCUUGAGCCCAGGAGUUCAGGGCUGUAGUGCCCUAUGCCAAUUGAGUGUCCAAGGUAAGUUCAGCGUCAACGUGGUGACCACUUGGGGGUGGGGGACCACCAGGUUGCCUAAGGAGGGGGAAACUGACCGAGGCUGGAAACAAAGCAGGUCAGAACUCCCACGCUCAUUAGUAGUUGGGAUCUUGCCCCAUGCAACCACUGCACUCCAGGGUGGGCAAUGUAGCAAGACACU
rnacentral:SRP_RNA from 1 species